CUGCAUUCACUGAUAGACCUUGAACAAUUUGUUGUCCUUUUAGUUUGCACUAGGAUGCAAAAGAAAAGAAUUCCUGUGCUAUCUGUCUUUGUAGCAGCCCAAAUUGAAUUGGGGAAUACAUCA
rnacentral:snoRNA from 1 species